GUGACUGAAAAACAAAACAAGGAAGUGAAGGACGGCCAUGAACUUGGUUAAUGUUCUCCAGCAUAAUAUUAACCCCGCGGCAAGAAAAACACACCUGGCAGGAGAACCAAUGAAUCCUGAAAACCAAAAAUAACCUUUUGGUCUGGCGUUAACCUCUUAAUACCAUUACACUAUUGUUGAGGUUACAGCGUUAAGUACACACAAAUCCGCGUUCAAACUUUGUGCUUAGUCAUCAAAAAACGCGCACACUAAGUGCGCUCUAUUUCUUCAUUUUAAUAGGAAGCAGUAAGUGUCAUCAAAUAAAAAAAAAAGAUUUGUUUGCCAAAAGACAACAUAAGGGUGACGUGACAUGGGGUGAUCAGGACUGAAUGUUAACAAAGAUACCGAGUAAUUCUGGCAUUGGUCAUCACUGAUGACAGAUAUUUGCAGGAGAAAUGUUGGGUCAGAGGGUUGAAGAUUUCAUUUCUUGUUAGUGCUUUAAGACGUGUGUUGACAACCUUGACUGAGAAAUAUGCACCGCCACCCUCUGAAGAGAUGGAAACAACAGGGCUGAAAAGAUUGAAACACUCGUGUAAAAGCACGAGUGAUGGACUCUUAAAUGUCAUCUUUUAACAAGGCAGUUUUCUCCAUAUGGGAACAUGUUCAAAAUAUAGAUAUUUGUCUUCAAGUUAAACCUGUCUCCAAUAUUCUAUGCUUUAAUUGUUUUAAAUGUAUUAACCCUAAAAAUAUAUAGUGCACAAUAUGAAUUGUAAACAACAAAAAUAGUAUUACAAUUACAUCUGAUAUUAUUUAAAUAAUAUAAGUAAUUUUUAAAAAUAAAACAGUUUA